rnacentral:rRNA from 1 species
GAUGAACGCUGGCGGCGUGCCUAAUACAUGCAAGUCGAGCGAACGGACGAGAAGCUUGCUUCUCUGAUGUUAGCGGCGGACGGGUGAGUAACACGUGGAUAACCUACCUAUAAGACUGGGAUAACUUCGGGAAACCGUAGCUAAUACCGGAUAAUAUUUUGAACCGCAUGGUUCAAAAGUGAAAGACGGUCUUGCUGUCACUUAAAGAUGGAUCCGCGCUGCAUUAGCUAGUUGGUAAGGUAACGGCCUACCAAGGCAACGAUGCAUAGCCGACCUGAGAGGGUGGUCGGCCAAACUGGAACUGAGACACGGUCCAGACUCCUACGGGAGGCAGCAGUAGGGAAUCUUCCGCAAUGGGCGAAAGCCUGACGGAGCAACGCCGCGUGAGUGAUGAAGGUCUUCGGAUCGUAAAACUCUGUUAUUAGGGAAGAACAUAUAUGUAAGUAACUGUGCACAUCUUGACGGUACCUAAUCAGAAAGCCACGGCUAACUACGUG